CUAGCUGCGAGAAUUAAUGUGAAUUGCAGAACACAUUGAACAUCGACACCUUGAACGCAAAUGGCGGCCUCGGGUCAAUCCCGAGGCCACGCCCGUCUGAGGGUCGGCU
rnacentral:rRNA from 1 species